UGGGGAAUAUUGGACAAUGGGGGGAACCCUGAUCCAGCCAUGCCGCGUGUGUGAAGAAGGCCUUAUGGUUGUAAAGCACUUUAAGCGAGGAGGAGGAUACUGGUAUUAAUACUACCAGCUACUGGACGUUACUCGCAGAAUAAGCACCGGCUAACUCUGUGCCAGCAGCCGCGGUAAUACAGAGGGUGCGAGCGUUAAUCGGAUUUACUGGGCGUAAAGCGUGCGUAGGCGGCUAAUUGAGUCGGAUGUGAAAUCCCCGAGCUUAACUUGGGAAUUGCAUUCGAUACUGGUUAGCUAGAGUGUGGGAGAGGAUGGUAGAAUUCCAGGUGUAGCGGUGAAAUGCGUAGAGAUCUGGAGGAAUACCGAUGGCGAAGGCAGCCAUCUGGCCUAACACUGACGCUGAGGUACGAAAGCAUGGGGAGCAAACAGG
rnacentral:rRNA from 1 species